GCACAACGCGAAGAACCUUACCAAGGCUUGACAUCCCCUUGACCGGCACAGAGAUGUGCCCUCUCCUUCGGGAGCAAGGGUGACAGGUGGUGCAUGGUUGUCGUCAGCUCGUGUCGUGAGAUGUUGGGUUAAGUCCCGCAACGAGCGCAACCCUUAUCCUUAGUUGCCAGCAUUUAAGGUGGGCACUCUAAGGAGACUGCCGAUGAUAAAUCGGAGGAAGGUGGGGAUGACGUCAAAUCAUCAUGCCCCUUAUGUCUUGGGCUACACACGUGCUACAAUGGUCGGUACAAAGGGGAGCGAAGGAGUGAUCUGGAGCAAAUCCCAAUAAACCGAUCUCAGUUCGGAUUGUAGGCUGCAACUCGCCUACAUGAAGUCGGAGUUGCUAGUAAUCGCGAAUCAGAACGUCGCGGUGAAUGCGUUCCCGGGUCUUGUACACACCG
rnacentral:rRNA from 1 species